GGCCGAGUGGCGGAACUGGCAGACGCACGGGACUUAAAAUCCCGUGGGAGGUAACUCCCGUGAGGGUUCGAGCCCCUCCUCGGCCA
rnacentral:tRNA from 1 species